UACGGGGGGGGCAAGCGUUGUUCGGAAUUACUGGGCGUAAAGGGCUCGUAGGUGGCCAACUAAGUCAGACGUGAAAUCCCUCGGCUUAACCGGGGAACUGCGUCUGAUACUGGAUGGCUUGAGUUUGGGAGAGGGACGCGGAAUUCCAGGUGUAGCGGUGAAAUGCGCAGAUAUCAGGAGGAACACCCGUAGCGAAGGCGGCACUCUGGGCCGAUACUGACACUGAGGAGCGAAAGCGUGGGGAGCGAACAGG
rnacentral:rRNA from 1 species